UACGUAGGAUCCGAGCGUUGUCCGGAAUUACUGGGUGUAAAGGGUGCGCAGGCGGCUUUGUGCGUCAGAGGUGAAAUCCACGGGCUUAACCCGUGGGGUGCCUUUGAAACGGCAUGGCUUGAGUACGAGAGAGGUCGAUGGAAUUCCUGGUGUAGCAGUGAAAUGCGUAGAUAUCAGGAGGAACACCGGUGGCGAAGGCGGUCGGCUGGCUCGUAACUGACGCUGAGGCACGAAAGCGUGGGGAUCAAACAGG
rnacentral:rRNA from 1 species